AAAUGUGAAACAAUAUUUGUAUUUAGUUUCGACCUAAAAAAUAGAUUUUUAAUAAUCCAUAUUUA
rnacentral:tRNA from 1 species